rnacentral:rRNA from 1 species
AGAGUUUGAUCCUGGCUCAGAGCGAACGCUGGCGGCAGGCUUAACACAUGCAAGUCGAGCGGGCGUAGCAAUAUGUCAGCGGCAGACGGGUGAGUAACGCGUGGGAACAUACCUUUUGGUUCGGAACAACACAGGGAAACUUGUGCUAAUACCGGAUAAGCCCUUACGGGGAAAGAUUUAUCGCCGAAAGAUUGGCCCGCGUCUGAUUAGCUAGUUGGUGAGGUAACGGCUCACCAAGGCGACGAUCAGUAGCUGGUCUGAGAGGAUGAUCAGCCACAUUGGGACUGAGACACGGCCCAAACUCCUACGGGAGGCAGCAGUGGGGAAUAUUGGACAAUGGGCGCAAGCCUGAUCCAGCCAUGCCGCGUGAGUGAUGAAGGCCCUAGGGUUGUAAAGCUCUUUUGUGCGGGAAGAUAAUGACGGUACCGCAAGAAUAAGCCCC